rnacentral:rRNA from 1 species
GAUGAACGCUAGCGGCAGGCCUAAUACAUGCAAGUCGAACGGGAUCCAGAUCAAAGCUUGCUUUGGUUUGGUGAGAGUGGCGCACGGGUGCGUAACGCGUGGGCAACCUACCCUUGUCAGGGGGAUAGCCCGGCGAAAGUCGGAUUAAUACCGCAUGACAUCAUUGAGAGGCAUCUUUCGAUGAUCAAAGAUUUAUCGGACAAGGAUGGGCUCGCGUGACAUUAGCUAGUUGGUAAGGUAACGGCUUACCAAGGCUACGAUGUCUAGGGGCUCUGAGAGGAGAAUCCCCCACACUGGUACCGGGACACGUACCAGACUCCUACGGGAGGCAGCAGUAAGGAAUAUUGGUCAAGGGACGGAAGUCUGAACCAGCCAUGCCGCGUGCAGGAAGACGGCCCUAUGGGUUGUAAACUGCUUUUAUACGGGAACAAACGUCGGUACGUGUACCGGUCUGAGUGUACCGGAAGAAUAAGGAUCGGCUAACUCCGUG